rnacentral:rRNA from 1 species
GGGUUGUGAGGUUAAGCGACUAAGCGUACACGGUGGAUGCCCUGGCAGUCAGAGGCGAUGAAGGACGUGCUAAUCUGCGAAAAGCGCCGGCGAGGUGAUAUGAACCCUUGACCCGGCGAUGUCCGAAUGGGGAAACCCAGUGCAAUUCGUUGCACUAUCGUUAACUGAAUACAUAGGUUAACGAGGCGAACCGGGGGAACUGAAACAUCUAAGUACCCCGAGGAAAAGAAAUCAACCGAGAUUCCCCCAGUAGCGGCGAGCGAACGGGGAGCAGCCCGGAGUCUGAAUCAGCUUGUGUGUUAGUGGAACGGUCUGGAAAGUCCGACGGUACAGGGUGAUAGUCCCGUACACGAAAGCACACAUGCUGUGAACUCGAAGAGUAGGGCGGGACACGUGGUAUCCUGUCUGAAUAUGGGGGGACCAUCCUCCAAGGCUAAAUACUCCUGACUGACCGAUAGUGAACCAGUACCGUGAGGGAAAGGCGAAAAGAACCCCGGCGAGGGGAGUGAAAAAGAACCUGAAACCGUGUACGUACAAGCAGUGGGAGCCUCUUUAUGGGGUGACUGCGUACCUUUUGUAUAAUGGGUCAGCGACUUAUAUUCUGUAGCAAGGUUAACCGUAUAGGGGAGCCGAAGGGAAACCGAGUCUUAACUGGGCGUUAAGUUGCAGGGUAUAGACCCGAAACCCGGUGAUCUAGCCAUGGGCAGGUUGAAGGUUGGGUAACACUAACUGGAGGACCGAACCGACUAAUGUUGAAAAAUUAGCGGAUGACCUGUGGCUGGGGGUGAAAGGCCAAUCAAACCGGGAGAUAGCUGGUUCUCCCCGAAAGCUAUUUAGGUAGCGCCUCGUGAACUCAUCUUCGGGGGUAGAGCACUGUUUCGGCUAGGGGGCCAUCCCGGCUUACCAACCCGAUGCAAACUACGAAUACCGAAGAAUGUUAUCACGGGAGACACACGGCGGGUGCUAACGUCCGUCGUGAAGAGGGAAACAACCCAGACCGCCAGCUAAGGUCCCAAAGUCAUGGUUAAGUGGGAAACGAUGUGGGAAGGCACAGACAGCCAGGAUGUUGGCUUAGAAGCAGCCAUCAUUUAAAGAAAGCGUAAUAGCUCACUGGUCGAGUCGGCCUGCGCGGAAGAUGUAACGGGGCUAAACCAUGCACCGAAGCUGCGGCAGCGACACUAUGUGUUGUUGGGUAGGGGAGCGUUCUGUAAGCCGUUGAAGGUGUGCUGUGAGGCAUGCUGGAGGUAUCAGAAGUGCGAAUGCUGACAUAAGUAACGAUAAAGCGGGUGAAAAGCCCGCUCGCCGGAAGACCAAGGGUUCCUGUCCAACGUUAAUCGGGGCAGGGUGAGUCGACCCCUAAGGCGAGGCCGAAAGGCGUAGUCGAUGGGAAACAGGUUAAUAUUCCUGUACUUGGUGUUACUGCGAAGGGGGGACGGAGAAGGCUAUGUCAGCCGGGCGACGGUUGUCCCGGUUUAAGCAUGUAGGCGGAGGUUCCAGGUAAAUCCGGUACCUUUUAACGCUGAGGUGUGAUGACGAGGCACUACGGUGCUGAAGUGAUAAAUGCCCUGCUUCCAGGAAAAGCCUCUAAGCAUCAGGUAACAUCAAAUCGUACCCCAAACCGACACAGGUGGUCAGGUAGAGAAUACCAAGGCGCUUGAGAGAACUCGGGUGAAGGAACUAGGCAAAAUGGUGCCGUAACUUCGGGAGAAGGCACGCUGAUGUGUAGGUGAAGCCCCUGCGGGCGGAGCUGAAAUCAGUCGAAGAUACCAGCUGGCUGCAACUGUUUAUUAAAAACACAGCACUGUGCAAACACGAAAGUGGACGUAUACGGUGUGACGCCUGCCCGGUGCCGGAAGGUUAAUUGAUGGGGUUAGCGGCAACGCGAAGCUCUUGAUCGAAGCCCCGGUAAACGGCGGCCGUAACUAUAACGGUCCUAAGGUAGCGAAAUUCCUUGUCGGGUAAGUUCCGACCUGCACGAAUGGCGUAA